rnacentral:rRNA from 1 species
ACUCAAAUGAAUAGACGGGGACCCGCACAAGCAGAGGAGCAUGUGGUUUAAUUCGAAGCUACGCGAAAAACCUUACCAAGUCUUGACAUCCCGUGCAUAGCCAUGAAAGUGGUGAAAGGGGGCAACCCCCACGGUGACAGGUGUUGCAUGGUUGUCGUCAGCUCGUGUCGUGAGAUGUUCGGUUAAGUCCGAUAACGAGCGCAACCCUUGUCUUUAGUUGCCAGCAUUAAGUUGGGCACUCUAGAGAGACUGCCGUAGAUAAUACGGAGGAAGGUGGGGAUGACGUCAAAUCAUCAUGGCCCUUACGACUUGGGCUACACACGUGCUACAAUGGUGGUUACAAAGAGAAGCAAAAUGGUAACAUCGAGCAAAUCUCAAAAAAGCCAUCUCAAUUCGGAUCGAGGGCUGAAACCCGCCCUCGUGAAGUCGGAUUUGCUAGUAAUCCCGAAUCAGCAUGUCGGGGUGAAUGCGUUCCCGGGUCUUGUACACACCGCCCGU